rnacentral:lncRNA from 13 species
AUGAGGAAAGUGAGCCCCAGGGAAGUGAAGAAACUAGAUCAAGAUAACAUGGAACGAAGAUUUGGACUUGGCCUCCCCAGGCCUAGCACAGGCCUCUUUCUUAUUGAAUUGCUUGUUUUUCUUGUUGGUGGGAAAGAGAUUUGGAGAAUUAUGUUGGUGGCCCUUAAAUCACACCAAGCCAGCAUCUGUCUGUGUCCAAGGAGGCAGGCAGUGAGUCUUGUGUGUGUACAUUUGCCCACCUUCAGAACCUUUGGCUCGUGCCUUUACCAGCACUGUUUUCUACUCAUUCUAGCAGACAGAUUGGCCUCUUUCCCAACCUGGGUCUUCAGCAGAGUGGUUCAUGAAGGGUUUGUUCAGAAUCCUGAUUCCAGGUAUAAUCUGCAUGAACCUCAUGGAGAAGGAGCCCCUUCUCAGAAGGGUCUCACUCGUUGCCCAGGCUGGAGUGCAGUGACAUGAUCAUAGCUCACUGUAACCUUGAACUCCUGGACACAAGGGAUCUUACUGCCUCAGCCUCCCGAGCAGCUAGGAUGACAGGUGUGCCCCACCACACCCAGAUAACUUAAAAUUUUGUGUGUGUGUAAAGAUGGGGCCACGCUGCCCGGACUGGUCUCAAACUCCUGGCCUCAAGCAGUCCUUGUGCCUCAGCCUCCCCAGUGCUGGGAUCACAGGCAUAAACCACUAUACCCAGCCCCAUUCUUGAUGAUAGAUAAGAAGACUGAAGCUUGGAGAGUGUAGCUGAUUUGCUGAAACAUAGGAGUCAGGGUUUGUAGUCAGGUCUAACUCCAAUGAUGGGGAGCUUCCUUUCUGUCCCAUUGUCUCCCAUGUGGCUACAACCAGAAUUUCCAGCCUUGAUAGAAUCCUUUCUCCCCUUCCUUGGGCUGGGAUAGCACAGUGACCUGGGGCAGGAGCGCCACCUAUAACUACUAAGAUGGAGACAGAAGGGCUUAGAUGUCAGCAACAGUAUGCCUCAUGAAUGGGAAUUCUAGUUCCCUGACUUACAGAAAUUUUGAGAGAAUUGGCACUGGUAUUAGCAAGAAGUACUUGGAGCAUCUCAGAUGAAAGGCUCUAGGUGAGUACAGAGGGUGGCUAUUAGAGACUGGCAUGGAAUUUUAUAUGAAGGAGAGUGCUUACUAAUUAUAAGAUAGCUACUCAUUUGUAGAUUUAUUUUCUAGUUUAAUCUCUCAUUGUUGCUAUUACAAGGACUAGAAAAAAUGCCCAAAGGUUUAUGACCAAGACUCAAAAGCUAAGCUUGCAUGUCCUGGAAAGACCUAUCUGAUUAAAAUAAUAAAAAUAAUAAUAGUAAUUAGAAUAAAUCCUGU